rnacentral:rRNA from 1 species
UACGAAGGUCCCAAGCGUUGUUCGGAAUCACUGGGCGUAAAGGGAGCGUAGGCGGCGUGGUAAGUCAGAUGUGAAAUCCCGGGGCUCAACCCCGGAACUGCAUCCGAUACUGCCAUGCUUGAGGGUUGGAGAGGUAGCUGGAAUUCUCGGUGUAGCAGUGAAAUGCGUGGAUAUCGAGAGGAACACUCGUGGCGAAAGGCGAGCUACUGGACAACA